rnacentral:tRNA from 1 species
CCUGGCUAGCUCAUUUGGUAGAGCAUGAGACUCUUGAUCUCAGGGUUGUGAGUUCAAACUCCAUGUUGGGUG